ACGACCAUUUAAAAAAAACGGCGAUGUAUUGUAUAUUAUGAACAUUUCUGUUGGGUUCCUUCAAGAAUUUGAAACUUUUAUGCUCUAGCCUUGCUAGAGAAACCUUUCCUUACAUCCCUGUACUUCGCUCGAUCGGUGCAGUAGCUUGAAGUUGUGACACCGACUUUUAAAACGUGUUCCAGCUAUGGCGGGUAGUGCUAUAAUAGGAGGAGUACUCCUGGCUCUAAUUGAAGGUGUUGGAAUAUUAUUUACCAGAAUAUCUGCCGAUCAGUUCAGAAAUCCGUUACCACCAGCAGAAGACCCCACUGUUCUUGGAGAUCCUGGAAGUAAUUAUUCGUUUGGAUCCAAUUCAAACCAAAAAAAUUAUCAAUAAAAUGACGACCAUUUAAAAAAAACGGCGAUGUAUUGUA